rnacentral:siRNA from 1 species
CAGUUAAGCGUGCUUGGGCGAG